rnacentral:rRNA from 1 species
UGGGGAAUCUUAGACAAUGGGGGCAACCCUGAUCUAGCCAUGCCGCGUGAGUGAUGAAGGCCUUAGGGUUGUAAAGCUCUUUCAGCUGGGAAGAUAAUGACGGCACCAGCAGAAGAAGCCCCGGCUAACUCCGUGCCAGCAGCCGCGGUAAUACGGAGGGGGCUAGCGUUGUUCGGAAUUACUGGGCGUAAGGCGCACGUAGGCGGACUGGAAAGUUGGGGGUGAAAUCCCGGGGCUCAACCUCGUAACUGCUUUCAAAACUAUCAGUCUGGAGUUCGAGAGAGGUGAGUGGAUUUCCGAGAGUAGAGAUGAAAUUCGUUGAUAUUCGGAAGAACAACAGUGGCGAAGGCGGCUCACUGGCUCGAUACUGACGCUGAGGUGCGAAAGCGUGGGGAGCAAACAGG